CCGAAGUUUCUCUCAGGAUAGCUGGGACGGGCUCUGUUUCCGAACGGCUUGUGAUCCCACAGUGAGGCGCAUCAGCAAUGGAGUUUCGUCCGGUAAAGCGAAUGACUAGAGGCACGCGGGGGUGCAAGGCCCUCGCACUAUUCUCAAACUUUAAAUGGGCGAGAACCCCGGCAUUCGUGCUCGAUGCACGGGGCGUCCAACGUGGCCAGCACCAAUGCGCUCCCUGUGCCAACGGACUCUAGACUCUCAUGCAAUUUGUUUCUGGCUUCUGCUUUUGAUGGAAUGUGGUGUGACUCAGGUCUAGUACGAAUCAUCCCGAUCCUCAGUGGGUCAUUUCUGGUAAGCAGGACUGAUAAUGAGGGAUGAACCUAACGUUGUGCUAAGGGGCCUAAACGACAGCUAUCUCUUGAUACCAUUGGAAGGGUGCUGCUGGCUGAAGACAGCAGGACGGUGGUCAUGGAAGUCGACAUCCGCUAAGUAGUGUGUAACAACUAAUCCUGCCGAAGCGAGCAACCCUGAAAAUGGAUGGCACUCAAGCUCUCUCCCGAUGCACAACCGUCGGUGGCAAUAAAGGCUUGCGAAAGAAUUGUCAGAACUAUAAGUCUCAAAGCCCCGACGAGUAGGGUGGCGUGCCGGUAAGCACUGAAGGCCAAGACGUGAGUCAGGCUGGAGCUGCCGGUAAUGCAGAUCUUGGUGGUAGUAGCAAGUACUCUGGUGAACAACCUGGAGCUGUGAGGCUUGGACAAGGGUUCCAUGUCAACAGUGAUUGAACAUGGGUGAGUCGUACCUAAGCCAACUGUGAAAGCAGUGACAUCCCGUCAAGGGCAUUGCACACACGCACUCAGUCUCUCUCUCUCUUUAAGCACGUGAUGCCGAGUCUCAAAGAUCGGGGUUGAACGAAAGCACAAAACUCUGGUCAGCUCUUCUGUCGUAUCGGCUUGGGUUUGCAGAGUACCCUCUCCUCCCAACAAAAGUGCAAGUAGUUCUCUCCAUCAGGCACGACGAACCUACGUGUCACACAGGAUGUAUAUGAACCUAACGGCUGGCUGAUGAUGAUGGUGGUAAUAAUGGUGGUGGUAUCUGUUGAUAAAGGGGGCAAAAGUGAGAGAGACAGCUGAUGCUCGCCCCUCGUGGCGUGAAGAGAGAGCUUGUGUGUGUGUGCUCUAAGCUCGAGAUUGGUUUUAAUGUCUGGCGAAAGGGAACGGGGACUUUGUUCCCUGACCGGUCCCGGCACCCUCGAUGGCUUACGCCUAUCACCGGUCGGAGUAAUCCGAACCAGGCCACAGCCGCCGGCAGCCGCCCAAGGAAGAGUUUUCUUUUCUGCUUAACGCACGAGGUCAUCCCUGGAAGCAGUUCGGCUGGCGACAGGGUGUCCCGUUGCGGCAGAGCGCCACGACUGUCGUGUGCGUCUUGGUGUUUCUGCUGGUCCGUGAAAACGUGGUCGAGGGGAUCUAGCAAUGGACUUGUAGUCAAAAACGUAGACUCUCUUCUCCUCGUUGGGGGAGAGAGCUUCUGCUAAAACGCCCGACAAGUUCGGGACUGACCGUACCCUAUAUCCGCAUCCGGUAUCCAAGGUUCGUAGCCUCUGCAGUCCCAGACACAUGUAGGUAAGGGAAGUCGGCAAACUCGAUCCGUAACUUCGGGAUAAGGAUUGGCUCUGAGGGCCGAGCUGGGCCGGGCUUGCUUGCAACGCAGUACCUAUAGUGACCGGAGUUUAAGGAGUGUACGGGGCCUAAGUAAGGUCUCUCUCUCCUUCACGGGAGUUGGGGGCACGAACGGGUCUACUGCUCCGCUCCAACCACGAACGGCUGUGACGGCAGGUCUCUGGUCGGGUGCACAUCCAAAUGUUGGCCUCCAGCAUGUCUGGUUGGCGGCAGUGCAUCUCGUCCGACGGCUCCAGCGACUAGCGGCUAACUCAGAACUGUCAUGGACCAAGGGAAUCCGACUGUCUAAUUAAAACAAAGCGUCGUGACGGCCCCUGUUGGGUGUUGACGCGACGUGAUUUCUGCCCAGUGCUCUGAAUGUCAAAGUGAAGAAAUUCACCGAAGCGCGGGUUAACGGCGGGUGUAACUAUGACUCUCUUAAGGUAGCCAAAUGCCUCGUCAUCUAAUUAGUGACGCGCAUGAAUGGAUUAACGAGAUUCCCACUGUCCCUAUCUACCGUCUGGUGAACCAACAGGCAAGGGAACGGACUUGCAUGAACACAGCGGGGAAAGAAGACCCUGUUGAGCUUGACUCUAGUCUGAAUCUGUACGGAGACAUCGGAGGUGCAGCAUAAGUGGGAGGGCCAGGUUGCUUCGGCGGCCACCGAACCGUGAGAUACCACUACUCCCUUCGUCUCCGUACUCCACUCGGUUAUCGGGAGCAAAUACAAAGUGAAUGACGGCGACUGGAUGCUUCGUGGUUGAGUGCUUCGCGGUGUCUUUGCGUUCUCGUCUGCGUGCCUUCGCGGGUGCGUGGGUGUUUGCGUGGAGCCCGUGUUCUCUCUUCCACACCAAAGGGGCUCCUGCCUCAUCCUGCUGAGGACAGAUUCAGGUGGGGAGUUUGACUGGGGCGGUACAUCUGUCAAACGAUAACGCAGGUGUCCUAAGGCCAGCUCAACGAGAUCAGAAAUCUCGUGUAGAGCAUAAGGGCCUAUGCUGGCUUGAUCUAGACUUUCAGUAUGAGUACGGACGGUGAAAGCCAGGCCUAUCGAUCCUUUUGACGUUACUGAGUUUAUAGCAAGAGGUAUCAGAAAAGUUACCACAGGGAUAACUGGCUUGUGGCGGCCAAGCGUCCUUAGCGACGUCGCUUUUUGAUCCUUCGAUGUCGGCUCUUCCUAUCAUUGAGUUGCAACCGUCGCCAAGCGUCGGAUUGUUCACCCAUAUCAGGGAACGUGAGCUGGGUUUAGACCGUCGCGAGACAGGUUAGUUUUACCCUCCUGUGGUCUGAAGCUUUGACUAAGUCUAAGCUUGUCGUGUCGCUAUGGAAGUUGUGGCCAGUACGAGAGGAACGUCACAACCGAACCUCUGGUCCCGGACUCGGCCGAGAGGCCGGUGGUCCCAGGCUACGUUCGUACAAGUAAGGCCGAACGCCUCUUAAGCCUGAAACCAUUCCAGAACAUGAGCGACGCUAUCAGCAGUUGGCCUCUACGCUACGCGCUUGCGCGUGUGUGGCAUCGGGUGCUAGCACCUCAGGUCUCCUUGUGGGGCCUGUACAGGUGUAAGCCCGGCGGAUACAAGACAGAGCUGUUGCACACGUGUCCAUCACCCCUCGUGGGCUGGGCAC
rnacentral:rRNA from 1 species